rnacentral:rRNA from 1 species
AUUGAACGCUGGCGGCAGGCCUAACACAUGCAAGUCGAGCGGUAGAGAGGUGCUUGCACCUCUUGAGAGCGGCGGACGGGUGAGUAAUGCCUAGGAAUCUGCCUGGUAGUGGGGGAUAACGUUCGGAAACGGACGCUAAUACCGCAUACGUCCUACGGGAGAAAGCAGGGGACCUUCGGGCCUUGCGCUAUCAGAUGAGCCUAGGUCGGAUUAGCUAGGUGGUGAGGUAAUGGCUCACCAAGGCGACGAUCCGUAACUGGUCUGAGAGGAUGAUCAGUCACACUGGAACUGAGACACGGUUCAGACUCCUACGGGAGGCAGCAGUGGGGAAUAUUGGACAAUGGGCGAAAGCCUGAUCCAGCCAUGCCGCGUGUGUGAAGAAGGUCUUCGGAUUGUAAAGCACUUUAAGUUGGGAGGAAGGGUACUUACCUAAUACGUGAGUAUUUUGACGUUACCGACAGAAUAAGCACCGGCUAACUCUGUGCCAGCAGCCGCCGUAAAAC